rnacentral:rRNA from 1 species
AUUGAACGCUGGCGGCAGGCCUAACACAUGCCAGUCGAACGGUAACAGGAAGCAGCUUGCUGCUUUGCUGACGAGUGGCGGACGGGUGAGUAAUGUCUGGGAAACUGCCCGAUGGAGGGGGAUAACUACUGGAAACGGUAGCUAAUACCGCAUAACGUCGCAAGACCAAAGAGGGGGACCUUAGGGGCUCUUGCCAUCGGAUGUGCCCAGAUGGGAUUAGCUAGUAGGUGGGGUAACGGCUCACCUAGGCGACGAUCCCUAGCUGGUCUGAGAGGAUGACCAGCCACACUGGAACUGAGACACGGUCCAGACUCCUACGGGAGGCAGCAGUGGGGAAUAUUGCACAAUGGGCGCAAGCCUGAUGCAGCCAUGCCGCGUGUAUGAAGAAGGCCUUCGGGUUGUAAAGUACUUUCAGCGGGGAGGAAGGGAGUAAAGUUAAUACCUUUGCUCAUUGACGUUACCCGCAGAAGAAGCACCGGCUAACUCCGUG